rnacentral:rRNA from 1 species
AUUGAACGCUGGCGGCAGGCCUAACACAUGCAAGUCGAACGGUAGCACAGAGAGCUUGCUCUCGGGUGACGAGUGGCGGACGGGUGAGUAAUGUCUGGGAAACUGCCCGAUGGAGGGGGAUAACUACUGGAAACGGUAGCUAAUACCGCAUAACGUCGCAAGACCAAAGUGGGGGACCCUCGGGCCUCACACCAUCGGAUGUGCCCAGAUGGGAUUAGCUAGUAGGUGGGGUAAUGGCUCACCUAGGCGACGAUUCCUAGCUGGUCUGAGAGGAUGACCAGCCACACUGGAACUGGGACACGGUCCAGACUCCUACGGGAGGCAGCAGUGGGGAAUAUUGCACAAUGGGCGCAAGCCUGAUGCAGCCAUGCCGCGUGUAUGAAGAAGGCCUUCGGGUUGUAAAGUACUUUCAGCGGGGAGGAAGGCGGUGAAGUUAAUAGCUUCACCGAUUGACGUUACCCGCAGAAGAAGCACCGGCUAACUCCGUGCCAGCCGCCGCCGUAA